rnacentral:rRNA from 1 species
GACGUAGGGCGCGAGCGUUGUCCGGAUUUAUUGGGCGUAAAGAGCUCGUAGGCGGCUUGUCGCGUCGACUGUGAAAACCCGCGGCUCAACUGCGGGCUUGCAGCCGGAUACGGGCAGGCUAGGAGUUCGGUAGGGGAGACUGGAAUUCCUGGAUGUAGCGGUGAAAUGGCGCCAGGAUAAUCGGGAAGAACACCCGGUGGCGGAAGGCGGCUCUCUGGGACGGUACUGACGCGUGAGACGCGAAAGCGUGGGGAGCGAACAGG